UGGGGAAUUUUGGACAAUGGGCGCAAGCCUGAUCCAGCCAUGCCGCGUGCGGGAAGAAGGCCUUCGGGUUGUAAACCGCUUUUGUCAGGGAAGAAAUCUUCUGAGUUAAAUACCUCGGGAGGAUGACGGUACCUGAAGAAUAAGCACCGGCUAACUACGUGCCAGCAGCCGCGGUAAUACGUAGGGUGCAAGCGUUAAUCGGAAUUACUGGGCGUAAAGCGUGCGCAGGCGGUUUUGUAAGACAGAGGUGAAAUCCCCGAGCUCAACCUGGGAACUGCCUUUGUGACUGCAAGGCUUGAGUGCGGCAGAGGGGGGAUGGAAUUCCGCGUGUAGCAGUGAAAAUGCGUAGAUAUGCGGAGGAACACCGAUGGCGAAGGCAAUCCCCUGGGCCUGCNAUGACGCUCAUGCACGAAAGCGUGGGGAGCAAAUCAGGAUUAGAUCCCCUGGUCAGUCCACGCCCUAAAACGAUGUCAACUGGUUGUUGGGAAGGUUCCUUCUCAGUAACGUAGCUAACGCGUGAAGUUGACCGCCUGGGGAGU
rnacentral:rRNA from 1 species